AUUGAACGCUGGCGGCAGGCCUAACACAUGCAAGUCGAACGAGUGGCGGACGGGUGAGUAAUGUUUGGGCAUCUGGCUUAUGUAGGGGGAUAACUACGGGAAACUGUUGCUAAUACCGCGUACCAUACGAUGCGCCUAAGUGGGAUUAGGUAGUUGGUGAGGUAAAGGCUCACCAAGCCGACGAUCUCUAGCUGGUCUGAGAGGAUGACCAGCCACACUGGGACUGAGACACGGCCCAGACUCCUACGGGAGGCAGCAGUGGGGAAUAUUGCGCAAUGGGGGCAACCUGACGCAGCCAUGCCGCGUGAAUGAAGAAGGCCUUCGGGUUGUAAAGUUCUUUCGGUAGCGAGGCGUUAACUACAGAAGAAGCACCGGCUAACUCCGUGCCAGCAGCCGCGGUAAUUC
rnacentral:rRNA from 1 species